rnacentral:siRNA from 1 species
GUUGGUGCAGCAAGCUCGGUUUAC